AGCCCUAAGUGGGUGGUAAACUCCAUCUAAGGCUAAAUAUAACCACGAGACCGAUAGCGAACAAGUACCGUGAGGGAAAGUUGAAAAGCACUUUGAAGAGAGAGUUCAAGAGUACGUGAAACCGUUUAGGGGUAAACCUGAGAAACCCGAAAGGUCGAAGGGAGAAAUUCAUUCGCGUUUCGCCGUUGGCGUUAAGCGGUCGUGUGACGGAGAAUGCUUUCGAGCCUUUUCCGCGCCUUCCGUUUCUCGAUCCGAUAGCGAACGCGUGCACUUUUCUCCUGGUAGGACGUCGCGAUCCGUUGGGUGUCGGUCUACGGCUCUCGGUGGAGCCCGUAUGUACGGCUUGCGCCGCUUACGUACGGACCCGAGUGUCCCGGCUGACUCGCUCGACGGUAUACGAAAGGUUUAAGGCCGCUCUAGUGAGCGUUCGACUCGUCGCAAGCGCGUCAGAUGUGUCGGUAAUCGGACCUAGUGCCGGUUCUGGCCUCUGAUGACUGUUGGCGACGAAGUUCUCGAACAGACCUCUAACCGAUCUGCGACGCUAUAGCUUUGGGUACUUUCAG
rnacentral:rRNA from 1 species